rnacentral:rRNA from 1 species
CUCAAAAGAGUUUAANGAAUAAAUUUCUUUAACCGAAAAACUUGGAUUUUACUAAUUAUUGUUAAGCAAUAAUGUCGGGUAGACGAUGUGUAAAUUAUUAGUACGAUGUGAUAAAUUAAACGUCAAGUUUUAUAUCUGUUUUACAACUUUAAAUUUACACACAUCAACCUAGUGAGGAUAUUAGGUUGAAGUAUAUAUCACUAGUCAACUUAUUUUUAAAUAGGGUUAAAAGUACCCAGUUAUUAAAAAAUUGUUUAUAAUUUUUUAUAAAAGAUGAAUGAUUAUAGUAAAGGUUGUUUACUUUAAACAGUUAGAAUUUAAUUAUUUUUGAAUUAGUAAUAAAAAAAAAAUAAUCAUUUCUCAAGCUUUGCCCGUCUGUUUAUUAAAAACAUUUCCAUACCUAAUAUUUUAUGGUAUUACCUGCUCUAUGUUUAUUAUAAAUGGCCGCAGUAUCUUGACUGUGCGAAGGUAGCAUAAUUAAUUGCCUUAUAAUUGAAGGCUUGUUUGAAUGGUUUGACGUGGUAAACGCAAAUGUUUAUUUUUUUUUUGAAAUUUAUUUAGAGGGCACAGAAUCCUCUACUUUUAAUUAGACGGAAAGACCCCAGGAUCUUUGUUUUUUGUCUGGGGCAGAUUCUUAUAUUUCAUAAGUAUUUUGAUCCUUUUAAGUAUAAUGAUUUAAGUUACCCUGGGGAUAACAGUGUAAUAGUUUAAAAGAGUUCAUAUCGAAUAAACUGUUUGCUACCUCGAUGUUGACUUAGGUAAAUAGGGUAGGCGCAGCAGUCUAUUCUUUUGGUCUGUUCGACCAGUUCUACCUCCAUGAGUUGAGUUAAGACCGGCGUGA